rnacentral:misc_RNA from 1 species
AACGCACAUUGCGCCCGCUGGUAUUCCGGCGGGCAUGCCUGUUCGAGCGUCAUUAUAACCAAUCAAGCUCUGCUUGGCCUUGGGGCCCGCUGUACCGGCGGCUCUUAAAACCAGUGGCGGUGCCGUCUGGCUCUAAGCGUAGUAAUACUUCUCGCUACAGGGUCCAGCCGUUCACCGGUCAGAACUCCUCAAUUUUCUUAGGUUGACCUCGGAUCAGGUAGGGAUACCCGCUGAACUUAA